rnacentral:rRNA from 1 species
CCUACGGGCGGCAGCAGUCGAGAAUCAUUCACAAUGGGGGAAACCCUGAUGGUGCGACGCCGCGUGGGGGAAUGAAGGUCUUCGGAUUGUAAACCCCUGUCAUGUGGGAGCAAAUUAAAAAGAUAGUACCACAAGAGGAAGAGACGGCUAACUUUGUGCCAGCAGCCGCGGUAAUACAGAGGUCUCAAGCGUUGUUCGGAAUCACUGGGCGUAAGGCGUGCGUAGGCUGUUUCGUAAGUCGUGUGUGAAAGGCGCGGGCUCAACCCGCGGACGGCACAUGAUACUGCGAGACUAGAGUAAUGGAGGGGGAACCGGAAUUCUCGGUGUAGCAGUGAAAUGCGUAGAUAUCGAGAGGAACACUCGUGGCGAAGGCGGGUUCCUGGACAUUAACUGACGCUGAGGCACGAAGGCCAGGGGAGCGAAAGGGAUUAGAUACCCCAGUAGUC